AUACGGAGGGUCCAAGCGUUAUCCGGAUUCAUUGGGUUUAAAGGGUCCGCAGGCGGGAAAAUAAGUCAGUGGUGAAAGCCUACAGCUCAACUGUAGAACUGCCAUUGAUACUGCUUUUCUUGAGUAUAGAUGAAGUGGGCGGAAUAUAUCAUGUAGCGGUGAAAUGCAUAGAUAUGAUAUAGAACACCGAUUGCGAAGGCAGCUCACUAAACUAUUACUGACGCUCAGGGACGAAAGCGUGGGGAGCGAACAGGAUUAGAAACCCUAGUAGUCC
rnacentral:rRNA from 1 species